rnacentral:rRNA from 1 species
CCUACGGGAGGCAGCAGUGGGGAAUAUUGCACAAUGGGGGAAACCCUGAUGCAGCGACGCCGCGUGAGUGAAGAAGUAUUUCGGUAUGUAAAGCUCUAUCAGCAGGGAAGAAAAUGACGGUACCUGAUUAAGAAGCCCCGGCUAACUACGUGCCAGCAGCCGCGGUAAUACGUAGGGGGCAAGCGUUAUCCGGAUUUACUGGGUGUAAAGGGAGUGUAGACGGCAGCGCAAGUCUGAAGUGAAAUGCUGGGGCUUAACCCCGGAACUGCUUUGGAAACUGUGCAGCUAGAGUGCAGGAGAGGUAAGUGGAAUUCCUGGUGUAGCGGUGAAAUGCGUAGAUAUUAGGAGGAACACCAGUGGCGAAGGCGGCUAACUGGACUGUAACUGACGUUGAGGCUCGAAAGCGUGGGGAGCAAACAGGAUUAGAUACCCGGGUAGUC